rnacentral:lncRNA from 1 species
UGUUAAUAAUGUAUGUUGUUAUUUAGUAUAACCAUUGCUUGUUAAAUGUAUAAUUUCUUAUCAAGAACGACUGUGGAUGAGUUCUUAUCAGCUUUUUUAAUAAUAUUUUUAUUCGCUCGUAAAUUGUUUAAAGCUAUUCUUUCCUUCUUACUUAGAUUGUCUCUAAUUAUGUUCAUUUUCAAUUUGCUGAGUUCCAGUUUUGUCGCAAAUAGAUAAUUUUCAAUUGUAUUAUUUGCAUGUUUCGGUUUAUAUCCUGAUUUUCUCCUGAAUGGGUGGUAUGUAUAUGUAUUGGAAAUAUCUUCAAAUUGAAAUUUACAUCUCAUUUUCCUCGACAUUUCAUCGAAAUCUUGUAAUAGUUUUUGUUUCGCAUUUUUAUUUAAGGUUUUAGGAAUAAAUUUUAAACCUUUUGCUAAAACAAGUAUUUCAUCAUUGGUUAGGUUUUCUUGAGUAAAUAUAUCUAUGUAAUUUAACGCUUUCUCAAUUUUUGCAUUGUGUUGAUUGUUCUUUAUAAAACUGUUUUCUCCUUCUAUUAUGAGUAUUCAAUUUACUCAAAUAUUUUUUUUGUUUUUUU